rnacentral:misc_RNA from 1 species
GAUGAAGAACGUAGCGAAAUGCGAUAAGUAAUGUGAAUUGCAGAAUUCAGUGAAUCAUCGAAUCUUUGAACGCACCUUGCGCCCUUUGGCCAUUCCGAAGGGCAUGCCUGUUUGAGUAUCAUGAACACCUCAACUCUUUAUGGUUUUCCAUGAUGAGCUUGGACUCUGGGGGUUUUGCUGGCUCACAGUCGGCUCCUCUAAAAUGAAUCAGCUUACCAGUGUUUGGUGGGUAUCAUGGGUGUGAUAACUAUCUACGCUUGUGGUUUUUCCACCAGGAAACCUUCAGCAGUGGAGGUUCGCUGGAGCUCAUAGAUGUCUCUCCUCAGUGAGGACAGCCCUUUGAAUGUUUGAUCUCAAAUCAGGUAGGACUACCCGCUGAACUUAAGCAUAUCAAUAAGCGGAGGA